AUUGAACGCUGGCGGCAUGCUCUACACAUGCAAGUCGAACGGUAACAGGUUAAGCUGACGAGUGGCGAACGGGUGAGUAAUGCAUCGGAACGUGCCCGGUCGUGGGGAUAACGCAGCGAAAGCUGCGCUAAUACCGCAUACGAUCUGAGGAUGAAAGCGGGGGACCGUAAGGCCUCGCGCGAUCGGAGCGGCCGAUGUCAGAUUAGGUAGUUGGUGGGGUAAAGGCUCACCAAGCCGACGAUCUGUAGCUGGUCUGAGAGGACGACCAGCCACACUGGGACUGAGACACGGCCCAGACUCCUACGGGAGGCAGCAGUGGGGAAUUUUGGACAAUGGGCGCAAGCCUGAUUCAGCAAUGCCGCGUGCAGGAAGAAGGCCUUCGGGUUGUAAACUGCUUUUGUACGGAGCGAAAAGGCUCUCUCUAAUACAGGGGGCUCAUGACGGUACCGUAAGAAUAAGCACCGGCUAACUACGUGCCAGCCGCCGCGGUAAAAC
rnacentral:rRNA from 1 species